rfam:Corynebacterium matruchotii ATCC 14266 gcontig_1125149795841, whole genome shotgun sequence.
AUACGUUCUCAGGGCGGGGUGAAAGUCCCCACCGGCGGUGAUCCCCCUUUUGGGGGCGAGCCCGCGAGCGCUUCUUGGGGUUUUCUCCAAGAAGGUCAAGCUGAUUGUGGUGUGAUCCCACAGCCGACAGUGACAGUCUGGAUGGAAGAGAAUGGGC